GAGUACAUCGUUCCAAACGGAAGGACACUGAUUUCACUGAUCAGAGAUGCAGGUUCGAUUCCUGCUGUACUCC
rnacentral:tRNA from 1 species